AAUUUACAUCUGCNAACGCCAGGGUACUACGAAGCCAUAGCUUGAAACCCAAAGGACUUGACGGUGUCCCAUCCAACUAGAGGAGCCUGUUCUGUAAUCGAUAAUCCACGAUAAACCUAACCAUUUCUUGCCCAUCAGCCUGUAUACCUCCGUCGCAAGCUCACCGUAUGAACGCACAACAUUGGGCCAAAUGGUCUUUCACCAUAACGUCAGGUCAAGGUGCAGCUAAUGAAAUGGAAGAGAUGGGCUACAAUUUCUAAACUAGAACAAACGAAAUACUACAUGAAACAUAGUCAUGAAGGUGGAUUUAGCAGUAAGUAGAAAAUAGAGAGUUCUACUAAACCUGGUCCUGGGACGUGUACAAACCGCCCGUCACCCUCUUCGAUAGCCUUUAAUUUAGUUUUUAACACAAUUUCGCGUCUUAGAAGAGGCAAGUCGUAACACGGUAAGUAUACUGGAAAGUGUACUUGGAACAA
rnacentral:rRNA from 1 species